UACGUAGGGGGCAAGCGUUGUCCGGAAUCAUUGGGCGUAAAGCGCGUGUAGGCGGCUCGGUAAGUCUGCUGUGAAAGUCCAGGGCUCAACCCUGGGAUGCCGGUGGAUACUGUCGAGCUCGAGUCCGGAAGAGGCGGGUGGAAUUCCUGGUGUAGCGGUGAAAUGCGCAGAUAUCAAGAGGAACACCAAUGGCGAAGGCAGCUCGCUGGGACGUGACUGACGCUGAGACGCGAAAGCGUGGGAGCAAACAGG
rnacentral:rRNA from 1 species